rnacentral:rRNA from 1 species
UCUACAGGCUUAACACAUGCAAGUCGAGGGGCAGCAUGGUCUUAGCUUGCUAAGGCCGAUGGCGACCGGCGCACGGGUGAGUAACACGUAUCCAACCUGCCGUCUACUCUUGGACAGCCUUCUGAAAGGAAGAUUAAUACAAGAUGGCAUCAUGAGUCCGCAUGUUCACAUGAUUAAAGGUAUUCCGGUAGACGAUGGGGAUGCGUUCCAUUAGAUAGUAGGCGGGGUAACGGCCCACCUAGUCUUCGAUGGAUAGGGGUUCUGAGAGGAAGGUCCCCCACAUUGGAACUGAGACACGGUCCAAACUCCUACGGGAGGCAGCAGUGAGGAAUAUUGGUCAAUGGGCGCAGGCCUGAACCAGCCAAGUAGCGUGAAGGAUGACUGCCCUAUGGGCUGUAAACUUCUUUUAUAAAGGAAUAAAGUCGGGUAUGGAUACCCGUUUGCAUGUACUUUAUGAAUAAGGAUCGGCUAACUCCGUGCCAGCAGCCGCGGUAAUACGGAGGAUCCGAGCGUUAUCCGGAUUUAUUGGGUUUAAAGGGAGCGUAGAUGGAUGUUUAAUUCAGUUGUGAAAGUUUGCGGCUCACCGUAAAAAUUGCAGUUGAUACUGGAUAUCUUGAGUGCAGUUGAGGCAGGCGGAAUUCGUGGUGUAGCGGUGAAAUGCUUAGAUAUCACGAAGAACUCCGAUUGCGAAGGCAGCCUGCUAAGCUGCAACUGACAUUGAGGCUCGAAAGUGUGGGUAUCAAACAGGAUUAGAUACCCUGGUAGUCCACACGGUAAACGAUGAAUACUCGCUGUUUGCGAUAUACUGCAAGCGGCCAAGCGAAAGCGUUAAGUAUUCCACCUGGGGAGCACGCCGGCAACGGUGAAACUCAAAGGAAUUGACGGGGGCCCGCACAAGCGGAGGAACAUGUGGUUUAAUUCGAUGAUACGCGAGGAACCUUACCCGGGCUUAAAUUGCAGAUGAAUUACGGUGAAAGCCGUAAGCCGCAAGGCAUCUGUGAAGGUGCUGCAUGGUUGUCGUCAGCUCGUGCCGUGAGGUGUCGGCUUAAGUGCCAUAACGAGCGCAACCCUUGUUGUCAGUUACUAACAGGUUCCGCUGAGGACUCUGACAAGACUGCCAUCGUAAGAUGUGAGGAAGGUGGGGAUGACGUCAAAUCAGCACGGCCCUUACGUCCGGGGCUACACACGUGUUACAAUGGGGGGUACAGAGGGCCGCUACCACGCGAGUGGAUGCCAAUCCCAAAAACCUCUCUCAGUUCGGACUGGAGUCUGCAACCCGACUCCACGAAGCUGGAUUCGCUAGUAAUCGCGCAUCAGCCACGGCGCGGUGAAUACGUUCCCGGGCCUUGUACACACCGCCCGUCAAGCCAUGGGAGCCGGGGGUACCUGAAGUGCGUAACCGCGAGGAGCGCCCUAGGGUAAAACUGGUGACUG